CCUCGGCACCUGGGUGGCUUUCUGCCCACACUGACUGAGCCAAGUGAAUGGAAAGUAAGUCACACUCUGGUGAUAUACACGUGGUAAACGUGAAUGCAGUGAUCUUCAUACCAUAUCUACUGAGCCACGUGAAUCAAAAAAUAGACUCAGCAGAGUGAUGUUCAUGCGGUAACUGGAAGUCAAUCAUCUUCAUACCACAUCUAACUGAGUCAAGUGAAUCGAAAAUUAGUCAGACUCUGGAGAGCAAAGUACAUGUCAUAAAUUUAAAUGACAGGCUCUUUAUACCCCUCUGACUGAGCCAGGUGAAUUGAAAUGUAGUUAGACUCUGGAUAGUGACGUACAUGUGACGAAUAUGAAUGCAGUGAUAUUCAUACCGCAUCUGACUAAGCCAAGUGAAUUGAAAAGUGGUAAGACUCCUAAUAGUGACAUACACGCCAUGACAUUGAAGGCAGCAAUCUUCAUACUGCAUGUGAGUGAGCCAAGUGAAUCAAAAAGAAGUCAGACUCUAGAUAGUAACGUACACACAGAAAACUUGAAUGCAGCAAUCAUGUUACAGGAAAGGGGCCCCAAUCCAGACCCCAAGAGAGGGUUCUUGAAUCUCACACAAGAAAGAAUUCAGGAUGAGCCCUCAGUGCAAAGUAAAUGCAAGUUUUUUAAGAAGGCAAAGUGGUGAAAAAACAGCUACUCCAUAGACAGAAUAGGACAUUCCCAAAAGUAAGAGGAGGAACACAUCUAUCCUAGGUACAAUGCUUGUAUAUUUGGGGAGAUGUGCUCUGCUACAAGGGUUUGUGAUAAAAGAUUAAUGUUCUCAAUUACUGUAUUUUGCAAGAACCGAUAUUAUCAUCUUUGAAGCAAAAUUAGGAAUGCCUUUGUUCUCCAGAUAUCGACAUAUCUGGACAUUGCCACGUUUGGGUCUGUUUAGUAAACAUUAUUAAUUUGUUCCCUUAGCCAUAAACAUCUAGAGGCUAGGAAUGCCUGACUUUCUCAGAAUCCAGCCCAGAAAGUCCCAGCCUCAUUUUCCUAGCCCUCCCUCAAAAUGGAGUCGCUUUGGUUCAAAUGCCUCGGACAUAUCUCCCCACUCCCUUUACAACAGGACCCUUAAUCCUAAGGGUUGCAGCAAGAUGAAGAUCUGUCUUGUGUAACUUCUUCAGGCUGAAUUGGGGCAAUGAUAUUGCUGCCUAACUAUUACAGUCUCUUGCAUUCGGGAUAGAGAAAAGCUCAGAGAGCGUUGAUAUGGUAAAUGUCAUUCAUAACUCUGAGUUCUGACGAAAGGUGAUAUCUGGAAGAUUAGUAAGUGUCCAAUUUAAAAAAGCAUUGAGUGAGCUUGUCUUGCAUUCCUACACAAAGAGCUCAACCACAAUAUUUUCCACAGCAGCAAAGCAAAGUAAGUAAAAUUAUUCCAAGUAAACUAAACAGGAAGUCUUUCCAAGAACUAGGCAGUUGUUGAAACCAAGCCAAUAUAGGGUCGAUUGACAGCACGCCAAUGGCAGAGAUAUGAGUGUCUAAAGCUUUCAUAGCCUGGGUAAUAGUAUGUGAAUAGUCAAAAACAUACACACAACAUUCGAUUUUGAUCAAAGCACAUGUUUCCCCUUGGGCUGCUGUUAAAAUGUCCACAUACCCAGCAGUUUAUCUGAUUAUGUAGAGAGGCUAAAGCCUAUGCCCACUCAAUAAAUAAGUUAAUCUCUGCAUGAUUCCAACUUCUACCCAAAAGGAGAAUCCCAAUCCAUAUCUUUAGGUUACCCAUCUCUUUCAUUUCUUCUGAACAGGAGUCGGAGGUCACUGCUUGGCUCACAGGGAUAAACGGGAUCAGUCUGUGUUCCACCAGAUUGCGGGACUUCAUAAGAGACAGGUUUCAUUCGAGAUAAGUGGACCCAGCUGUUUAUUCCCAGAAGUUUAACUAUAGCUGGCAUACUGAGGAGAACUUGAUAGGGUCCCUUCCAUUUUGGGGAAAGUUGAUCUUCUGGGAAUAGUUCCAAGUUUCUAACAGGACUCAAUCUCCUGGCUGGGUUGUAACAAGAGUCUCUUUCUUAGUGGGGGAAGGGAGUCUUUGGUUUCCAUAUUUAAGGAGUGCAUUUUGCAUUUGUUCUAAGUUGAUCACAUAAUUCUGUAGCUUGAAAGUAUCUAUGUCUAUUAGGAGGUCUGUAGUUAAGAAAGGCCUUCCAUACAUAAUUUCAAAACUGGUGAGCCAUAGAUUUCCCUUAGGAGCCACUCAAACACUUAAUAAGGCUAUAGGUAAUAAAGACAGCCAGGUUUCUGAUAUCUCCUGGCAUAGUUUAGCAAGAGUCCUUUUUAGAGCUUGAUUAGCUCUUUCUACUUUCCCUGAAGACUGUGGCCUCCUUGCCAAGUGAAGGC
rnacentral:lncRNA from 10 species